GAAAUCCCGAGGCCCMACYUCGGAACUGCAUUGGAAACUGAUUUACUUGAGUGCGAUAGAGGCAAGUGGAACUCCAUGUGUAGCGGUGAAAUGCGUAGAUAUGUGGAAGAACACCAGUGGCGAAAGCGGCUUGCUAGAUCGUAACUGACGUUGAGGCUCGAAAGUAUGGGUAGCAAACGGGAUUAGAUACCCCGGUAGUCCAUACCGUAAACGAUGGGUGCUAGUUGUUAAGAGGUUUCCGCCUCCUAGUGACGUAGCAAACGCAUUAAGCACCCCGCCUGAGGAGUACGGCCGCAAGGCUAAAACUUAAAGGAAUUGACGGGGACCCGCACAAGCGGUGGAGCAUGUGGUUUAAUUCGAAGAUACGCGAAAAACCUUACCAGGUCUUGACAUACCAAUGAUCGCUUUUGUAAUGAAAGCUUUUCUUCGGAACAUUGGAUACAGGUGGUGCAUGGUCGUWGUCAGCUCGUGUCGUGAGAUGUUGGGUUAAGUCCCGCAACGAGCGCAACCCUUGUUAUUAGUUGCCAGCAUUUAGUUGGGCACUCUAAUGAGACUGCCGGUGAUAAACCGGAGGAAGGUGGGGACGACGUCAGAUCAUCAUGCCCCUUAUGACCUGGGCAACACACGUGCUACAAUGGGAAGUACAACGAGUCGCAAACCGGCGACGGUAAGCUAAUCUCUUAAAACUUCUCUCAGUUCGGACUGGAGUCUGCAACUCGACUCCACGAAGGCGGAAUCGCUAGUAAUCGCGAAUCAGCAUGUCGCGGUGAAUACGUUCCCGGGUCUUGUACACACCGCCCGUCAAAUCAUGGGAGUCGGAAGUACCC
rnacentral:rRNA from 1 species